rnacentral:rRNA from 2 species
GCAGUCGAACGAACUCUGGUAUUGAUUGGUGCUUGCAUCAUGAUUUACAUUUGAGUGAGUGGCGAACUGGUGAGUAACACGUGGGAAACCUGCCCAGAAGCGGGGGAUAACACCUGGAAACAGAUGCUAAUACCGCAUAACAACUUGGACCGCAUGGUCCGAGUUUGAAAGAUGGCUUCGGCUAUCACUUUUGGAUGGUCCCGCGGCGUAUUAGCUAGAUGGUGGGGUAACGGCUCACCAUGGCAAUGAUACGUAGCCGACCUGAGAGGGUAAUCGGCCACAUUGGGACUGAGACACGGCCCAAACUCCUACGGGAGGCAGCAGUAGGGAAUCUUCCACAAUGGACGAAAGUCUGAUGGAGCAACGCCGCGUGAGUGAAGAAGGGUUUCGGCUCGUAAAACUCUGUUGUUAAAGAAGAACAUAUCUGAGAGUAACUGUUCAGGUAUUGACGGUAUUUAACCAGAAAGCCACGGCUAACUACGUGCCAGCAGCCGCGGUAAUACGUAGGUGGCAAGCGUUGUCCGGAUUUAUUGGGCGUAAAGCGAGCGCAGGCGGUUUUUUAAGUCUGAUGUGAAAGCCUUCGGCUCAACCGAAGAAGUGCAUCGGAAACUGGGAAACUUGAGUGCAGAAGAGGACAGUGGAACUCCAUGUGUAGCGGUGAAAUGCGUAGAUAUAUGGAAGAACACCAGUGGCGAAAGCGGCUGUCUGGUCUGUAACUGACGCUGAGGCUCGAAAGUAUGGGUAGCAACAGAUUAGAUACCCUGGUAGUCCAUACCGUAACGAUGAUGCUAGUGUUGAGGUUUCGCCCUUCAGUGCUGCAGCUACGCAUAGCAUCCGCUGGGAGUACGGCGCAGCUGAAACUCAAGAUGACCGGGGCCGCACAGCGUGAGCAUGUGGUUUUAAUU